GCUGCUCCUUUCCCGGUCGGUAGGUUGUCUAUGAUGGCGGUUUUAUUAGGGUUAUGCUGCCAGUGUGAAGUAAAAUGUCGGAGAAAAAAGUAGACGAAAGAAAGAAGACUUGAGAAUAAAGGCGAUUGCUUCUCUUCAUUUGAGAAUCAAGUGCGAAUGGAAACUUCAAACCAGUGAAGAAUGGGAGUCACUGAAAAUGGGACCAACUACGGCUAACUUAGCUUUGUUGUUGAUGGAUUGGGACUGUGUCGAAAGAACGAGAACAUUCUGUGGGUUUUUCACCAUCACCAAUUCGCAGAUUCAAGCAGGUAACCCAUCGUCUUGGCCCUAGUGAAAAACGCAGGUGAGUUUUCUUCUUUUGAGAUGAUUCAAUUUUAAAUUUCCUGUGCACACUUCAAAAUUUAAUCUGAAUUUUGAUUUCAUAGCUAGUCCAUAUGAAUCCAAUAUUAUUACAAGUUAUUGCUGGAAUAGCUUCGAGGGUAGUUACUUUUAGACAUAAAAAUAAAUGAAAGGGACUCUUGGGUCAGCAAAAGUGAGGCCGACUGAAAUAGACAAUUGGCUGGCUAUAUUUUGAAUUUAAAUUUUUGACGUUUUAUUUUUCUGAUGGGAAUCGUAUUUUUUUAUCAAAUCAGGACGUUUUCUGAGUUGAUUAUGCGAUCAUACAUGUGAAUUAUAUUUUUCAGAGUAGUGUAGAAGGAAUUUAAUAAUUUUUUUGCCAAAUACUGCAACAAUGAGACGGGGAUGUCUGAAAUUUUGUACCCGUUUUCUGAGUUAAUUUUGCGAUGUUGAUCAUAUUUUUCAGAGCAGUGCAGACGGUAUUUAAUAAGUCUUUCAUUGUAUAAAAAGAACAGAAAUUUGUCCAUUCUAACUAGAUUGGUAUAUUAUGAACAUCUUUAGUUCAAUGAUUAUGAAAGAAUGUAAUCAUGUGAAAUUCAUUUUAGUUCUAAUCUAUAUGUUGCACCUUUUCAUGAAAUUUUAAAUAUUUUCCUUCUACUUCCAAUCAAUACUGAAUUUUAAGUUAAUUAAGGAGCGUUGUCCAAAAAAAAAAGGGUUAAUUCUUUCUAUAUUUCUAUUAUAUACAAAAUACAUACAUAUAAUACAAUAUACAAGUUUACAUUUCUAUAAUAUCAUGACAUGUCAACAAUUU